rnacentral:ribozyme from 14 species
UAGUAAAGGAAAGUAGGAUCAUAUUUCUUGAACUGCUUUAUGUGGCUUGUUUAUCUUUCUCUUUUCCCUUUCAUUUUGAUUUAUACUUUGGUUUCUUCGUUUCUUAACAACAGAAAAGAUCCAUGGAGAAUACGCAUGGCUACACAGUGGAAAAAGAACAGAAGCUUAUUGUCCUUGGCUUUGCAAGCUUUUCUUUUUUAGUUUACAUAC